rnacentral:rRNA from 1 species
GACGAACGCUGGCGGCGUGCCUAAUACAUGCAAGUCGAGCGAAGUUUUUCUGGUGCUUGCACUAGAAAAACUUAGCGGCGAACGGGUGAGUCACACGUAAAGAACCUGCCUCAUAGACUGGGACAACUAUUGGAAACGAUAGCUAAUACCGGAUAACAGCAUUAACUGCAUGGUUGAUGUUUAAAAGUUGGUUUUGCUAACACUAUGAGAUGGCUUUGCGGUGCAUUAGCUAGUUGGUGGGGUAAAGGCCUACCAAGGCGACGAUGCAUAGCCGACCUGAGAGGGUGAUCGGCCACACUGGGACUGAGACACGGCCCAGACUCCUACGGGAGGCAGCAGUAGGGAAUCUUCCGCAAUGGGCGAAAGCCUGACGGAGCAACGCCGCGUGAGUGAAGAAGGAUUUCGGUUCGUAAAGCUCUGUUGUUAGGGAAGAAUGAUUGUGUAGUAACGAGACACAGUAGAGACGGUACCUAACCAGAAAGCCACGGCUAACUACGUG